CUUUAUAACCUUGUUUUUAACUCAUGAGUUAAAAAUCACAAUAUCUUCAUAGAGAAUCAACUCCAAGAUUAGUUGUCUUGAUAAAAAUAUCCCAGAAGUCUUCCACUAGCAGCCUUCAGAUGAGGAUGUUGAACUCUCAGCUCUGCCUGCCUGGAUGCUGCCAUGCUCCUGCCUGAACCUCUGAACCCAUCUGACCAGCCAUCUGGUUGCCAUCCACGGAGAGGAACCGUUCUUCAUGCAGUUGUGGAAGCCGUAAAUUUGCACAUCCUUGGUGCUCCUCCACCCUCUAACUGGCAUCUGUUAUGCACCUUGAGCCAUAGUGGAAACUCUAGAAGGAAGCGCGGCCCUCUGUACCCACUUGAAAUCAGCAAGGACACACUGAGAAUGCCUAUGAAAUGGCCACAGUGAUGAAAAGGCAGAGCCAACUACAUGAAGCCACCAGCCUUCCUUCUGCCUCCCUUGUCAAAGCAUCGUCUAGAAAACCUUCCGGGGUCCUUUCUCCAAAUGUUCUGUGCAGUAUGAGUGGGCAGAGUCCUGUAGAAAACAGCUUGGACUUUAAAGCCAGAAAGAAUGUGCCGUCUGCAGCCGUGCACCGGAGUGAUGAAGGACUGACUGUCUAGGAGCUGGGCUACUGUCAAACCUGGGAACACGAAGGAGAAAAUUGCAUUCUUUUCAGCCCGCCAGUGUAGCAAUCGGAUAGGCUCUAUGAAAAUAAAAAAGUUCCUGGGAUAUCGAUGGGAGAGCCACUACAAGAAGGAAAAAAAAAAAAAAAAUCAGGGGAUCUUAAGAAAGCCAAGUUACAGCUAGAGAUGAUGAGAGAGAUCAACAGCCAGUGCUACCAGUCUAAGCCGUUUGCGUGUGGCGUCGAGCACUGUUCUGUGCAAUACAUGAGUGACAGUGGGGACAGUAUCCGUUCUGCGAGGCCUCUGUCAGUGAUAGAGACAGUUGCUACUGCUGUGCUAGCUAGCUGCACAUAAAACCUGCACAAAUUCGCCUACCACAGUGAAGAUUUCUGACCAGUCCCGGGGUACGUCACCUAUACCUGAGCCCUUCUCUGCUCCGGAAACUUGUGAAAACCCCAAGGAAAGAGAAAAUUCUGAGACUGGCAGAUCCCAGAGUGAGCCGGUCCGUGUCCUUGACGUGGUAGCCAGGUUGAAGUCUGAGUGCCCGAAGCACCAGGGCCAGUGGGAACCCGGGAGCUUGUCAGGGAGUAACCGCUUCCGUCGAAAAUGUAGGCAGGGUGUUGCUCACAAAUGGUUCCUCAGGCCGGCGACAGAAAUGAAGAGGGCUCUGCAGACACAGCCGACACUCAGGUGCACCCCCUUGCAGCCGGGAUCUGUGGGUGAAGGACCCUCCGUAACUGAGCAUCAUUGUGCAAAGGAGCAGGCCUGGGAUGGCACUUCUCAGAGCUGUCCCUCCUUGCCAGCCGGUGUGAGCUUUCAUAGGGACAGCACAGAGGUAGAGCCACAGAGGUAGAGCCUGGUCAGCAAACAGCUGUGAAGCACUGCAGCAGAGGGCUUUCCUGGCUACCUUCAUUUUUUAUAGCUCAAAUGAUGAUGUUAAUGUCCAGUAACCGAUACUGCAAAUCAGAUCCCUGGGUGACAUUUUUUGAGAGAGAAAAAAAUGAAGUGAACUUGAACUUUACCUUUUAAAAAUGUUAAUACCUAGGACUGGAGAGAUGGCUCAGCGGUUAAGAGCACUGACUGCUCUUCCAGAGGUCCUGAGUUCAAUUCCCAGCAACUACAUGGUGGCUCACAACCAUCUGUAAUGGGAUCUGAUGCCCUCUUCUGGUGUGUCUGAAGACAGCUACAGUGUACUAGUAAUAAAUAAAUCUUUUAAAAAGGGAAAAGGAAAGAAAAGAAGAGUAGAGAAAAAAAGAAAAGAAAUGCUUUACAAAAUAUCAAUACUUGACUGGCAUAGGACAACAUUUCAGAUGUGCAUUUAUUCCUGAGGUUGCUUAACUUUUUUUUAAAAAAGCUAUUCUGUAUUCUUUACAUUGGUGAAAUGAACACUGAUAAUUGAGACUUUCGAUCCAAUUGCCUUUAUUGCAUCACCAACCCAAAUCAGCACAUGGCUUGACUUUCCUGCAUGACAGUGAUCCUUGAGUCCUAAAGACUGACAUGAAAGAAAAAUCUAACGUCAGUAGAAUCAAGCGUUUGGACUUACACAGGAAUCAGACCCCAAACUCUUGCCCAAAAUGAACAAUUGAAAUUCCUGUUGAGGUUUUUAAAAGUCUCCACCGCCCCCUCAAGUGUUCUGCGUUUUACACAACUCAGCACUUCCAAACCAAGCCAGAAUGAGGAACCCUGAGUUCCCUGUGGUCGGCCAUUUCCCAAGUAUUCCAAACCCACGCCUGGACCAGGACACUCCAGGAAUCUCAUCAGCGCCUUGACCCCAGGAGGUUUCUAGUUCCAUUUCCAAACCAUAGAGGUUUGGAAAAGACCUCCCUGAACCUUCCAUCUGCCUCCUGCGCAUUGACAUGGUAGCAUCAAGCUCUCGCCUAAGACCCGACCGACAUGGUUUACUAUACUGCAGAGCUAACGUGCCAUGGACAGCAUUAGAAACUUGGCUGGGACCAGUCAAGAUGGUUCUGUUUAACAACCUAAUAAAUAUAUUGGAAUGAGCAAUGAAAGCAAAG